UGGACAGACAAUGAAUCUGAGGACCUUGGA
rnacentral:piRNA from 1 species